rnacentral:tRNA from 1 species
GGCCGGUUGCUCAGUGGUUAGAGUGUCGGUCUGCUGACCGAGGGGUCUCGGGUUCGAUUCCCGGUCAAGGUCA